rnacentral:tRNA from 2 species
GGAAAAUAAUAUUCGUUGGUCUUCAAAACCAAUGGCGGGCAGCUUGUCCGUGGUAGGUUCGACUCCUAUACGCUUCCGCCA